AAAUUAAUAUUAAUUAAGUAUAACAUAUGUGAUGGCGCCACACAACCUCGGCCCUCCCUUCAUAACCCCUUCCGUUGCGUUCGGCAAAAACGCGAUCGUCAUAUUCUGGCACUUAACUUCUAAUCUAUGUGUGUCGUACCAUAUAUGUAGCAUAGCCUCGAAUUCGAGCGUUAGCCCUCGCGUCAACUCAGCACGUGUGUAAGAUUGAUCAGGCAACAACGUGUUCACACUCGCACCGAAACGAAUCGAGUUCUUUCCGUGGCGGCUAAAUGUUCGAACAUAGGUUCCCGACAAAUUCCGAGGCGCGCACGUUAACUGAACUUGCUAUGUGAUUGGUCGACAGAAAACCCUAGAUUCCACUCCGCGGCUCCAACGACAUGCGAAUCGUCGGAUCUGACGUUGUCUAACGAAACCGAAACCGAUUCGACUUUGACGCCUGGAUAUUGGUUGUACGCCUGGACUGGUAACACUAUCAAAGUACCACAAAUAAUAGAUAUCAAGUCCGUCCAGGUGCAACACUGCCGUUCUUGGUCAACGGCGGCCAAGUGGGCUGUGCCGCCGUUACGUGUUGCAGAGGUCGUGAGAGGCGGCGGAACGACGGAGUAGCCGUGCGCUGAUGGAGCAGAAAU
rnacentral:lncRNA from 1 species